GCCAGCCCGCUCAAGAAACUACGAAAGGAAGUUGACGGGGCCCGCACAAGCGGAGGAGCAUGUGGUUUAAUUCGAUGAUACGCGAGGAACCUUACCUGGGCUCGAACGUAAGAUGACUGUAGGUGAAAGCUUACAUCUCUUCGGAGCAUUUUACGAGGUGCUGCAUGGUUGUCGUCAGCUCGUGCCGUGAGGUGUCGGGUUAAGUCCCAUAACGAGCGCAACCCCUACCUUUAGUUGCCAUCAGGUUAAGCUGGGGACUCUAAAGGAACUGCCUACGCAAGUAGUGAGGAAGGCGGGGAUGACGUCAAAUCAGCACGGCCCUUACGUCCAGGGCUACACACGUGCUACAAUGGCCGAUACAGAGGGCAGCUACCUGGUGACAGGAUGCAAAUCUCCAAAGUCGGUCUCAGUUCGGAUCGGAGUCUGCAACCCGACUCCGUGAAGUUGGAUUCGCUAGUAAUCGCGCAUCAGCCAUGGCGCGGUGAAUACGUUCCCGGGCCUU
rnacentral:rRNA from 1 species